rnacentral:lncRNA from 1 species
AGCUUCCCGGCUGCUUUGUUUACCUAAUCAAGCCUGGGCAAUGGCGGGCUCCCCUCCCCCAGCCUCGCUGCUGCCUUGCAGUUUGAUCUCAGACUGCUGUGCUAGCAAUCAGCGAGACUCCGUGGGCGUAGGACCCUCCGAGCCAGGUGUGGGAUAUAGUCUCGUGGUGCGCCGUUUUUUAAGCCCGUCGGAAAAGCGCAGUAUUCGGGUGGGAGUGACCCGAUUUUCCAGGUGCGUCCGUCACCCCUUUCUUUGACUCGGAAAGGGAACUCCCUGACCCCUUGCGCUUCCCAAGUGAGGCAAUGCCUCGCCCUGCUUCGGCUCGCGCACGGUGCGCGCACCCACUGACCUGCGCCCACUGUCUGGCACUCCCUAGAGAGAUGAACCCGGUACCUCAGAUGGAAAUGCAGAAAUCACCGUCUUCUGCGUCGCUCACGCUGGGAGCUGUAGACCAGAGCUGUUCCUAUUCGGCCAUCUUGGCUCCUUAUUCUCAUUACCUUCUUGAGUUGUGGCUCAGACACUACAACAGAGCUCUGUCACCUCUUUCUAAAAGCUGGGAAAUGGUUAUUGUCAACGCCAGCCCCAUUUUGGAGGCACCUGGUUGCAGGGGACCACAGCUAGACCCGAGUCAUCCCUGGAGUCUCACACUUGAUCUUAGCCAAAAGGCCGAGAAGCGAUCAUCCCUGGAGUCUCUCUGAAUCUGCCGUGAUCCUGGGGGCUGCCCGAUUCGUGCAUUGUUCAUUGCUCAAUUAAACUCCUUUAAAUUUAAAAAAAAAAAAAAA